AAAAAUGCGAAUAUAGAUUAGCAAGGCCCAUAGCGAGAUACAACAUAGAGGCGGCUUACGGAAUUAGGGGUUCCAUCAUCUUCUUCGAUCUGCUCGGACCAUAACCAGCAAAAGAGAUAUACUAUGCCGUCUCAGCCGAAUCAUCUCGAAGAGAUUUUAUGUGGCCACCGUUCUCCUAUCGUCGAAGUGAGGCUUCUGAGAUUUUUGGAAGCUAGAACCUUCAAACGUGGUGGGGAGUUGAUGGGGUGGAAAUGCUUCUCCUUAUGCCAAGGUUUUCCGAUCUUUGACAAUUUCACGUUCAGUUUCCUUAAAGUCGGUGCAUCUGAAGCUCUAUAUAUAGGCUAAAUCUCAGAAACAUGGAGGCAGAGCAGGGGGCAGAGGAACUGAAAAGUCUCAAUCAUAAUAGGGUUGAACUUGAGAGGUUACGCCGUAUGUAAGAGCGGAUGGUCAGUAGGGAGAAGUUAGAAUGAGAGUUGGCUAUUUCCUCCCAUGAGAUACAUGCUACCAGAAGGGUUCACGCUGCACGUUUAGUACUGGUCCGUGAUACAUUUCUCCUCUCGAAGUUUUGUCCGACUCAGCGACAACGUCAACAAAAGAUUAUCGAGAUAGUAAUAUAUCCGGCAGGGAAGCAAUGCAGAGCUCAGAUGAUAUCACCAUCAACAGCACAGCCUCUGUUAAGCGUCGAGGUUCAAAUAUGUUGAUACGAAACUGAGGAGAACUCUGGGCAAAUGUAGAAAGCAGAUGUGGAAAAAUCAAAGAAAUGACUUUUUAUAAAAGGUCAAAAGCGAUUCUCUUAAUUCACCACCUCAAUGAUCAGAUUGUUGUAGUGUAACAGCGUUUUCCUACUGUAAAACAUUGCAGUAUCACAUUCACUGUUUAUCAUUUUCUAUUAUUCCUCCUCAAGCUUUUUUUUUGCCAUUGAAAAACCAUUUACUUAGUAAACUCAAAGUAUGCUUCUAAAUUUUUAUGUCUUUUAAGGACGACUGGUUUUUCCGCUAUUUUUGAGUCUAAAUCAGAAAAAACUCCGAGCAGACCUGUAUAACAAUGUAUGUGACGCCGUUGAAACUGGCGAUGCGGAUGCUACACAAGUUGGUAAGAAGAUCAUCCUCCCUUCGUCCUUCACUGCUGGACCCCGGUACAUGUCUGAAAAGUAUCAGGAUGCAAUGGCUAUAUGCCGUUGGUAUGGGAAUCCUCAUCUCUUUAUCACUGUCACUGCUAAUCCUAAUUGGGUGGAACUCAGUAACCAUCUUGAUGCGUAUGGUAUGGAGGUGAUUCCGCUAAUAGCCGACCUGACCUAGAAUGUCGGAUCUUCAAAAUCAAGCUUGAUGAGAUGAUGGCAGAUUUCAAAAAGGGAGAGUUCUUCCCUACGCUGGACGCAGAUUCCACGUAGGAAAGUCAGGCGACCAGGAGCUGACACGUGUCCAUCUGAGCCAAAACACACAGUAUCAUUUAACUCUAUCGUCGUGGACUUCGAUCGUGUUUUGUGGGAUUGGGCUCUGAAUCUGGCCCGCUGAGAUGAAUGUCUAAACCUAACUGAAGCGAAGAAACGACGUUCGUCUCUCCUCUUCGUGACGCGUAUGUGUGCAGCAUGUCACGAGCGUUGAGCAAGCGGCGAGACAAGCGACGAGAUGGACAUCCUUGGAACAAACGACAAGAGAGUGUAACGAAAGAUAGCAAAGGCAAUUGCUGCAGUUCAAGCUUUCACAGGGAAGGUGGAUAGGCUCUCAGACAGGGGUUAGCCAUCGCUGCAAAGGUCUGAUUCUGUGAGCCAUCAAUGGCGGUUCUGAAACGGUACGUGGUUCGUCGUUUCGUCUGCAAAUUUCGAGUCGUUGACUGUUCAUAUCGUGUCCGUCUGUUACAAAUCGAAUUGAUUCAAUCCCAUUAACCAAAGCUUUACUCUUCAUGCACACUACAAUUACGAACUAAAUUUCAAUAAGGAUAAACAUUGCGAUAUUAUCUUGGAGCCUGCAUUUGGUGUCUAUAAUGUGGGAAGUGUGUCACUGAUGUGGCAUUGAGGAAUAAACGACCUGCACAGACAGAUUAAGAGAGCACGAAACCUGAUGCAUUCCUGUUACUGUAAAUGACAUUCUCUCUCACUUCAUUCAUUCUCUGUCUAAAAUGGAAAGAGCCAUGGUUCCGACAUGCAAAACAGAACUACUAUCUCAAUUCAUCCCUCAGAUACAGUGAUGAAUUGCAGUGUUCGGAUCACACAAACGGGCAUAUGAUGCUGUUCCAGGUAUUGAAGGACGUCUAGCCAGCACAGAACCAGAGCCUACACAUAUUGAUUCAGUCAUAACCUCUACCGAGACUCCCAUUGAUGAUGAAAAGACCCCAGUCCAAAGAAAGCUCGCAAACACUGAUAACUCCAACUGUGGAGACUUGGAACUCACAAAAUACAAUCGAGUUCCAUUUUUUUGUUUCAAAGCUCUAUUUUUUUUCUGCAAUAAUGUUGUAGUCCACGUACUUUAAUUAGAAGCAAAAUGUUAUUAUUUAAUCUUUCUUUGGUUAUUUGUUAUGAGCAUUACUUAAUUUGAAUUAUAAAAAUCUUUAAAUA